UUACCUACGGGGGGCAGCAGUGAGGAAUAUUGGUCAAUGGGCGGGAGCCUGAACCAGCCAAGUCGCGUGAGGGAAGACGGUCCUAUGGAUUGUAAACCUCUUUAGGCGGGGAGCAAUGCCGGGCACGCGUGUCCGGAGGGAGAGUACCCGCAGAAUAAGCAUCGGCUAACUCCGUGCCAGCAGCCGCGGUAAUACGGAGGAUGCGAGCGUUAUCCGGAUUUAUUGGGUUUAAAGGGUGCGCAGGCGGAAUGUCAAGUCAGCGGUAAAAUUUCGGGGCUCCACCCCGUCGUGCCGUUGAAACUGGC
rnacentral:rRNA from 1 species